rnacentral:rRNA from 1 species
UACGUAGGGUGCAAGCGUUAAUCGGAAUUACUGGGCGUAAAGCGUGCGCAGGCGGUUUUGUAAGUCUGACGUGAAAUCCCCGGGCUCAACCUGGGAAUUGCGUUGGAGACUGCAAGGCUGGAGUCUGGCAGAGGGGGGUAGAAUUCCACGUGUAGCAGUGAAAUGCGUAGAGAUGUGGAGGAACACCGAUGGCGAAGGCAGCCCCCUGGGUCAAGACUGACGCUCAUGCACGAAAGCGUGGGGAGCAACCAGG